CAAUGGUCAAAAUUACAGUUUAAUAUUUGUAUUUCUAAUGAUAACUACUUGCACAUAUCCAUCACACUUCUCUGUUACUAUUAAACUUAUUACUAUCAUGCAAGUAAAAUCUCUUGGGAAAAAUAAAAUGUUGUCCCAGGAUGGUCAUAAAUAUCAGCUAGUAAAACUAAUGAAUAUACCUAUAAUCAUGUACAUAUGACUAUCAUAUAAUAUGUUGUAAUUCC